UACGUAGGGGGCAAGCGUUGUCCGGAAUCAUUGGGCGUAAAGAGCGUGUAGGCGGCCAGAUAAGUCCGCUGUGAAAUCUCGAGGCUCAACUUCGAGCUGUCGGUGGAAACUGUCUGGCUAGAGUCCGGAAGAGGAGAGUGGAAUUCCCGGUGUAACGGUGAAAUGCGCAGAUAUCGGGAAGAACACCCGUGGCGAAGGCGGCUCUCUGGGACGGUACUGGACGCUGAGACGCGAAAGCGUGGGGAGCGAACAGG
rnacentral:rRNA from 1 species